rnacentral:rRNA from 1 species
UGGUCAAGUUAUUAAGGGUGCAGGGCGGAUGCCUUGGCACUAGGAGCCGAUGAAGGACGUGAUAAGCUGCGAUAAGCUUCGGGGAGUUGCACGUAAACUUUGAUCCGAAGAUUUCCGAAUGAGGAAACUCACUUAGAGUAAUGUCUAAGUAUCAUUAAGUGAAUACAUAGCUUAAUGAGGGGAACUCAGGGAACUGAAACAUCUAAGUACCUGAAGGAAGAGAAAGAAAUUCGAUUCCGUAAGUAGCGGCGAGCGAACGCGGAUUAGCCCAAACCAAUAAAGUUUUCUUUAUUGGGGUUGCGGACAUAUCAUA